UACGUAGGGGGCAAGCGUUUGUCCGGAUUUAUUGGGCGUAAAGAGCGUGUAGGCGGUUUGGUAGGUCCGUUGUGAAAACUCGAGGCUCAACCUCGAGCUGUCGGUGGAAACCGUGUGGCUAGAGUCCGGAAGAGGAGAGUGGAAUUCCCGGUGUAGCGGUGAAAUGCGCAGAUAUCGGGAAGAACACCCGUGGCGAAGGCGGCUCUCUGGGACGGUACUGACGCUGAGACGCGAAAGCGUGGGGAGCGAACAGG
rnacentral:rRNA from 1 species